rnacentral:rRNA from 1 species
CAACCGUUUUCUCAGGACUUGAAGAACCAACGAGGGUUGUCACACUGCAAACGAAUCCUGCAAACAUUGAAGGCAGCCUACAGCACUUGGUCAACAUGAGAGAGAGUUAUAAGGUGCUUAUUGAGAACAAUCAGAACGUUAAGCGUUCAAUGGUCACCAACGUUAUGUUUAAAUGGUUCUCAUCUUCAAGUGUUACUGCUAAGCUUGAUCGCAAUAUUGCACGAUGCUUAGCAAAUCUUUCUGUUGUCGACACAACCAUCAGCUCGCUGAAACAGCUUCUUGCAGGCAACACACAGCUUUAUGCAACGCCACAUUUUCAGGAUAGCUUGGAGAGCAUUGUGGAAUUGCAAGCCGGAGAGAUGUUGAAUGAGGAAACUCUUGCUCGCGCACUUGGCAUCUUUGUUCCCAAAACAAAUUUAUUUCUACUGCUAGCCACCAAAGGUCUUAAACUCGUUUAUGUGGUUUGUGUUCUAAUCCUCAUAAAUCUAAGCUACCAGGUCUUCCAAAGAUGGCAAUCCCAGGUUAGGAGGAAGAAGAGUUCCCUCAAUUCCAGUGAUGAAUUAUCCAACACUAUGCCCGUCUCAGAGGGGGAAGGUAUUCUCAAAGAGGUUAUGCAGAUGAGCAAGGAGCAGCGGAAUCAGGUUAAAGUUGAUAUGGACGCUGAUGUUGCUGAACAUAGCGGUGGUUUCACUUUCGUUUUCCCAGAGCAAGCGGUUGAACUUGAAGGUAAAGGAAAUAAAUACCGCCCCAGGGAAGAUCAGCGCCUCAUGUAUUCUACGCGUGACGACGCCACUUUCGAUAGUUGGAAUGAGAAAGCUAAAGAGAGGCGCCACAAGAUCUCCAGUCGAGCGGAGCCGGAAAUGAGACCAACAUACCAGAAGCGGCCUUAUUUCAACUUUUAUGAACUUCAAACGGAUAGCAAUAUACUGGAGGCGAUCUUCUAUACUACCCAGGGUGAUGAAUUCUUCCGCACAGCAAACCCUAAUAAGGAUAUGCAUGGUGUUGCUGACAAACUCAAAACUUUCCUCGACACUCAGCCCAUCGUUGGGAAACACCAGCGUCAGUUGCUUGAGGAAACAGCUCAAGUUGUUAUUCGUGACAACAAAGGGGAAGCCCACCGGAUGGAAAUCUCGCAGCAUGAUCCUGACAAAUUGAAGAACAAUGGUGCUGGAAGAGUCGGGUAUGACGAACAUCGCAAUGACUUUCGACAAGAAGGCCAAGCUGUUACAUCCCCAGUUGAGCUGGAAGCUGAGUUUGGAGCUCAACCAGGGGGCAUCGUUCUUGAAGCGGCAACUGGAAUCACUAUCUCUCAGGUUGGAGUGGAUGUUGCAAAUCGAGUCGGGCGUAUUGCAAUAGGCACAUAUAAUCUCAACUGCUUUCUAUACAGCGACUGGAUCAUAGCACCCGCUCAUCUCCAAGAUCGAGUUGGUGAUGUUGUAAUUCAGUUUCCUGGGCAAACUGUUUGCACUAACACGGAUAAUUUGAACGCAAAUGGAGUUCAGCGCUUCCCAGGUUUGGAUCUAAUUGCCAUUCGGCGGCCAGCUGAUCUGAAGCCCCAGAAAAAGCUAGUAAAGGCGCACGCAUUAACAGAGCCCACCCUAGCGCAGAUGGUCUUCAUUGACCCACUAGGCAUUCGCAGAUUUUCUCAAUCGGAUUGGGCUCGUAAGGAAGAAGGAUCCGGACGUUGGUCGCAUAAGAUAUCCACACAACGAGGCAUGUGCGGGUGUCCAGUUUUAGAUGUCGGCAAGAAUCGUCUCAUUGGAAUUCAUGUUGCAACUAAUUACACCACCAAUCGCAAUGAAUUUCAGCCAUUCACGCAGGAGGUUGUGAAUUUCAUCAAUAGUUCCGGACGUCGGCUUCCUCUCACUUCGUGGAAAUUUGUUGGCUCUGCCUGCGGUUAUCUCGGCAGUAACUUUGUGAAGGUUAGCGACGAUAUUCAAACACAAGGGGCUGAUGAAUUAGCCAUCAUCAACAACUCCAUCGUUGGAUUCGGUAGCGCCUUGAAAGGGCAACUUGUUCAGCCAGCUACGAGCGCAAUUGCAAGCCGUUUCAAAGAACUCUUUGGAAAUGGCUCCUUUGAGUUGGUUGGAUGCAUGAACAAGGGUUUGAUUGACAAGCAUGUCAUCACUGGUGAAAACGAUAAUGUUCACAGCUUCAUGCGCGAACAUCCAACAUUCUCAUGGUUGCAGAGCUUCAUGGAUGAGUAUGCCCCUAGUGUUUUAUCAUACUCAGCAUAUUACAAAGACCUUUGCAAGUAUAAUCGCAAGAAGCAUGUGUUAACAUUCAACCCUGACGAACUGCAACACGCUACAAAAGGUCUUUGUAAUAUGCUCGAGGAUGCUGGCCUCACACCUUGCGACAUGCGCACACCUCAACAAGUUAUUUCGGAUGUUCAAUGGAGCACCUCCGCUGGUCCAAGUUAUCAGGGUAAGAAGCGCGACGUGUGUGCGCACCUCAGUGAGGAUGAGGUACUCAACCUUGCAGAAGUUUCUCGGCAGCAGUUCCUGGCAGGAAACUCUAUUGGUGUCUGGAAUGGAUCGUUGAAGGCGGAACUCCGCACAAUUGAAAAAGUUGAAGCUGAGAAAACUCGUGUUUUCACAGCAUCCCCAAUCACAAGCCUGCUCGCCAUGAAAUUCUAUGUUGAUGAUUUCAAUAAGAAAUUCUACGCCACGAAUUUGAAAGCUCCUCACACCGUGGGCAUUAAUAAGUUCAGCCGUGGCUGGGAAAUGUUGCAUGACAAGUUGAAUCGUCCUGGGUGGUUGCACGGCAGUGGUGAUGGCUCUCGUUUUGAUAGCUCAAUUGACCCCUUCUUCUUCGACAUCAUUAAGGGCAUUCGCAAGCACUUUCUACCUAUUGAACAUCAUGGAGCCAUUGAUCUGAUCUAUAAUGAGAUUUUGAACACCACAAUUUGCCUAGCAAAUGGCAUGGUGAUUAGAAAGAAUGUUGGUAACAACAGCGGGCAGCCGAGUACUGUUGUUGACAACACACUUGUUCUCAUGGUUUCCUUUCUAUAUGCAUACAUCCACAAAACAGGGGACACUGAACUACUUAAGCUUGACGAACGUUUCGUCUUUGUCUGCAAUGGUGACGACAACAAAUUCGCGAUUUCUCCAGAGUUUAAUGCACAAUUUGGGCAUGACUUUUCCCCAGAACUCAUCGAGCUUGGUUUGACGUAUGAAUUCGAUGACAUCACAGAUGAUAUUUGCGAAAAUCCCUACAUGUCUCUAACUAUGGUGCGAACACCCUUUGGAAUUGGAUUUUCCCUACCGGUUGAAAGAAUUGUUGCCAUAAUGCAGUGGGCAAGAAGAGGUGGUGUUCUCCAUUCGUAUUUAGCUGGGAUCUCAGCUAUAUAUGAGUCUUUUAACACACCAAAGCUUUUCAAAUCGAUCUAUGCGUAUCUGUUGUGGUUGACUGAAGAGUACGAAGCCGAUAUACUUGCUGCCAUGAAGGACACCGCCACUGCUCUACCAAUCCCUUCCAUGCUUGACGUUUACCGUUUGCAUUACGGUGGUUGUGACAUUGAACUGCAAGCUGCGGACACACAAACUGACGCUCAGAAGGAGGCAGCUCGAGUUGCUGCUGCUGAUAAAGCUCGAGCGGACGCUGCGGACGCAGCUAGGAAGCAGAAGGUCGAAGCUGACAGGGUUGAGGCAGCUCGUGUCAAGAAAGCCGCCGCUGACACCGCAAAUCUCACAGCAACCAAAGUCACAGCAACUGAAGAUGGGAAAGUUACAACUGAUUCCGGAACGAAGAGAACCAGUGCAGCAGCUGAAGUCACGUGGACUUUACCUACUAUGAAACAAGCCAAUGCCGGGCUAAAGUUGCGCAUCCCCAUUGCAAAGCUAAAGAGUGUACCAAAAUCCGUGAUGCAGCAUGACAACUCAAUAGCUUUGGACUCUGAGCUAACAGCAUGGGCAGACGCUGUUAGAACAAGCUUAGGAAUUACAACAGAUGAAGCUUGGCAAAACACACUAAUCCCUUUCCUAGGUUGGUGCUGCAACAACGGAGCUUCAGAUAAACACUCAGAGAAUCAGAAGAUGCAAGUGGAUGCCGGAAAAGCAACCCUUAGCGAAGUCAGCUUGUCACCGUUCAUAGUUCAUGCUCGGUUGCAUGGUGGCCUUCGGCGCAUCAUGCGCGCCUAUAGUGAUGAAACCGUUUUACUCAUCAGCGAAGGUAAACUCGUUCCCAGGUGGGCUAUGAGACACGGAGCCUCCGCUAACGCAGCUUAUGCGUUUGAUUUCUUUGUUCCACGUCCCUGGAUGAAUCCACAGGAUAUAGAAAUCUCAAAACAAGCACGUCUUGCCGCACUUGGAACUGGAACGAACAACACCAUGUUGACAUCGGACACAACAAAUCUUCGCAAGACAACCAAUCACAGGGUUCUGGACACUGAUGGACAUCCAGAGCUAACCUAAACCAUCCCCCCCCACGCCUUAUCCAUUUAUAUACUAUGCCGUACAUCGCGUUUCACGUGUGGUCGUAUAUCUGUAUCAGGCUCGGGACGGUUUUAUGUUCAAUAUGCUUUUCAGCAGUUGUCAAACCAGUAUUUUCUUCGGAAGAGUAUGGCGAGACUUGAGCAGCCGUUUUUAAUCAUCUGUCGUUAGAUGGUGGUGCACUCGGUGCACUUACGAGUACCAGAAGGUAAC